rnacentral:rRNA from 1 species
CCUACGGUGGGCAGCAGUGAGGAAUAUUGGUCAAUGGGCGGAAGCCUGAACCAGCCAAGUAGCGUGCAGGAUGAAGGCCCUACGGGUGGUAAACUGCGGUUAUACGGGAAUAACGCGCCGUACGUGUAGGGCUUUGCAUGUACCGUAUGAAUAAGGACCGGCUAAUUCCGUGCCAGCAGCCGCGGUAAUCCGGAAGGUCCGGGCGUUAUCCGGAUUUAUUGGGGUUAAAGGGAGCGUCGGCCGCAUGUCAAGCGUGCUGUGAAAUGUCCGGGCUCAACCCGGGGCUUGCAGCGCGAACGGGCGUGCUUGAGUCCGCGGCAAGCAGGCGGAAUUCGUCGUGUAGCGGU